UAGGGAAUCUUCGGCAAUGGGGGGAACCCUGACCAAGCAACGCCGCGUGAGUGAAGAAGGUUUUCGGAUCGUAAAGCUCUGUUGUUAAGGAAGAACGAGUGUGAGAAUGGAAAGUUCAUACUGUGACGGUACUUAACCAGAAAGGGACGGCUAACUACGUGCCAGCAGCCGCGGUAAUACGUAGGUGGCAAGCGUUAUCCGGAAUUAUUGGGCGUAAAGCGCGCGUAGGCGGUUUUUUAAGUCUGAUGUGAAAGCCCACGGCUCAACCGUGGAGGGUCAUUGGAAACUGGAAAACUUGAGUGCAGAAGAGGAAAGUGGAAUUCCAUGUGUAGCGGUGAAAUGCGCAGAGAUAUGGAGGAACACCAGUGGCGAAGGCGACUUUCUGGUCUGUAACUGACGCUGAUGUGCGAAAGCGUGGGGAUCAAACAGG
rnacentral:rRNA from 1 species